UACGUAGGGGGCAAGCGUUGUCCGGAUUUAUUGGGCGUAAAGAGCGUGUAGGCGGCCACACAGGUCAGCUGUGAAAACUCGAGGCUCAACCUCGAGACGUCGGUUGAAACCGUAUGGCUAGAGUCCGGAAGAGGAGAGUGGAAUUCCCGGUGUAGCGGUGAAAUGCGCAGAUAUCGGGAAGAACACCCGUGGCGAAGGCGGCUCUCUGGGACGGUACUGACGCGUGAGACGCGAAAGCGUGGGGAGCGAACAGG
rnacentral:rRNA from 1 species